GAUGAACGCUGGCGGCGUGCCUAAUACAUGCAAGUCGAGCGAAUGGAUUAAGAGCUUGCUCUUAUGAAGUUAGCGGCGGACGGGUGAGUAACACGUGGGUAACCUGCCCAUAAGACUGGGAUAACUCCGGGAAACCGGGGCUAAUACCGGAUAACAUUUUGAACCGCAUGGUUCGAAAUUGAAAGGCGGCUUCGGCUGUCACUUAUGGAUGGACCCGCGUCGCAUUAGCUAAUUGGUGAGGUAACGGCUCACCAAGGCAACGAUGCGUAGCCGACCGGAGGGGGUGAUCGGCCACACUGGGACUGAGACACGGCCCAGACUCCUACGGGAGGCAGCAGUAGGGAAUCUUCCGCAAUGGACGAAAGUCUGACGGAGCAACGCCGCGUGAGUGAUGAAGGCUUUCGGGUCGUAAAACUCUGUUGUUAGGGAAGAACGAGUGCUAGUUGAAUAAGCUGGCACCUUGACGGUACCUAACCAGAAAGCCACGGCUAACUACGUGCCAGCCGCCGCAGUAA
rnacentral:rRNA from 1 species